CUAUGAUGAAACAAAUUUAACCGAUGAC
rnacentral:sRNA from 1 species